GAGGGUGUAGCUCAAGUGGUAGAGUGCAUGCUUAGCAUGCAUGAGGUCCUGGGUUCAAUCCACAGUACCUCCA
rnacentral:tRNA from 1 species